UCAGCUGAUACUUGAAGAUGGACGUACGGACAUGUGUACUCAUUCUGGUGGUCUGUGUUCUUCUCGUCGGUGGAGCCCCUCCCGGGGAGAGAGGGGUCCUCCUCCGGAUAAAGAUUCGGAAAAAUACCCAAACCUUGAAAUGAUUGUCGACUUCCUUUGUCAGAUCUGUGCCAAGUCCAACUUACCAUGCAAAGAUCUUCGAUGUUAUAACCAACAGUGACACUAGUGUCUUGGAGCUGUCUUUGGAAACAGAGGUGUUCGAUGUUAUAACCAAUUGUGACAUUUGUUACUUGGCGCUGUCUUUGGAAACAAUUUGACAUAACUUUUACGCGGAAAUCGCGGAUUAUGGUUAACACAAGAUCAUUGUGUCCAGUCUUUUUCUAAGGGGACAUUAUGCACGUGAAUUCCGAAAAUGAGCUGGUUAAAGAAAAUGUGAAAUACAUGUUAUCAUCAGUAUGUACCAGACAUAACGUUUGGAUUGUUUUGUUUUUAGCAUUUACAAUAGAAAUAUUUUCUCCCAAAUGGAAUCAUCAUUUGAUACUUGAAUAGAUUCUUGAUAUUUGAAUAUUAAAAAGAUUGUGAAUACAAAAUUAAA